rnacentral:rRNA from 1 species
GACAGAGGGUGCAAACGUUGUUCGGAAUUACUGGGCGUAAAGCGCGUGUAGGCGGCCAUCUAAGUCGGGCGUGAAAUCCCACGGCUCAACCGUGGAAGUGCACUCGAAACUGGAUGGCUAGAGUCCUGGAGAGGAAGGUGGAAUGCUUGGUGUAGAGGUGAAAUUCGUAGAUAUCAAGCGGAACACCGGUGGCGAAGGCGGCCUUCUGGACAGUGACUGACGCUGAG